GACGGACGCUGGCGGCGUGCCUAAUACAUGCAAGUCGAACGCUUCUUUCCUCCCGAGUGCUUGCACUCAAUUGGAAAGAGGAGUGGCGGACGGGUGAGUAACACGUGGGUAACCUACCCAUCAGAGGGGGAUAACACUUGGAAACAGGUGCUAAUACCGCAUAACAGUUUAUGCCGCAUGGCAUAAGAGUGAAAGGCGCUUUCGGGUGUCGCUGAUGGAUGGACCCGCGGUGCAUUAGCUAGUUGGUGAGGUAACGGCUCACCAAGGCCACGAUGCAUAGCCGACCUGAGAGGGUGAUCGGCCACACUGGGACUGAGACACGGCCCAGACUCCUACGGGAGGCAGCAGUAGGGAAUCUUCGGCAAUGGACGAAAGUCUGACCGAGCAACGCCGCGUGAGUGAAGAAGGUGUUCGGAUCGUAAAACUCUGUUGUUAGAGAAGAACAAGGACGUUAGUAACUGAACGUCCCCUGACGGUAUCUAACCAGAAAGACACGGCUAACUACGUG
rnacentral:rRNA from 1 species